CAGUAGCCGCGGUAACACGUAGGUGGCAAGCGUUGUCCGGAAUUAUUGGGCGUAAAGGGCUCGCAGGCGGUUUCUUAAGUCUGAUGUGAAAGCCCCCGGCUCAACCGGGGAGGGUCAUUGGAAACUGGGAAACUUGAGUGCAGAAGAGGAGAGUGGAAUUCCACGUGUAGCGGUGAAAUGCGUAGAGAUGUGGAGGAACACCAGUGGCGAAGGCGACUCUCUGGUCUGUAACUGACGCUGAGGAGCGAAAGCGUGGGGAGCGAACAGGAUUAGAUACCCCAGUAGUCCCUGUCUCUUAUAC
rnacentral:rRNA from 1 species